GAUGAACGCUGGCGGCGUGCCUAAUACAUGCAAGUCGAGCGAACGGAUGAUAAGCUGGCCUCGCUGACGUUAGGGACGGGGGGGGGAGGAAGACGGGGAAAACCGACGGAAAACACUGGGACAACGGGGGGAAACCCGAGGUAACAGGGGAUAAUAUUGUGAAACGGAUGGUGCAGAAGGGAAAGACGGUCAUGCGGGCACUCAGAGAUGGAUCCGCGCUGCAUUAGCUAGUUGGUAAGGUAACGGCUUACCAAGGCAACGAUGCAUAGCCGACCUGAGAGGGUGAUCGGCCACACUGGAACUGAGACACGGCCCAGACUCCUACGGGAGGCAGCAGUAGGGAAUCUUCCGCAAUGGACGAAAGCCUGACCGAGCAACGCCGCGUGAGUGAUGAAGGUCUUCGGAUCGUAAAACUCUGUUAUUAGGGAAGAACAUAUGUGUAAGUAACUGUGCGCCUCCUGACGGUACCUAACCAGAAAGCCACGGCUAACUACGUG
rnacentral:rRNA from 1 species